UAGGCCUAGCAGAUGAUUAAGUCAAAAUUAUUGAAGUGAUAAGGUUUUCAUAAGUCAAAAAGUGAAAUGAUAAGGUGAAAGGUGUCAAAUUUUGAUACAAUAAGGCCAAAUCAUUGAAAAUAAAGGAUUGUCAUCAACCUUAUCACUUUCCACGACCAAUACUCUGAAAAAACAGAGAGAAAAAAAAACCAAAAACAUUUCUUGGCUGGCUUGAAGAGAUUCUAAGGAGAUCCAAGUGAAAUCAAAGCCAAAUAAGUGGAUUAAGCUUAGUUUUGGCCUUUUUAUGAUUUCUUGGUGGUUUUCAAGUUGUUUGAGGUUUAAAAAAGCUAGAAGAGAUUGUUUCGCUGAAAAGUUGCUCGGAUAAGCACAUCAACACCUAAGACACCACUUGUUACACGGUGAAAUAUAUUUUGGACAAAAUAUAGAGAAAGAAAUGAGUGAAUGAUUAAGGAGAACUGAAGCAUGGUCCUGACCCUGAUUUGUACAUAUGAACAUAUCGACCUUUUGUGUGGGUUAUUUCAGUUUAUCAGUGUGCAUGUUUGUAAUAAAGUGUGGAGUUAUGUUUUGAAAACUGAUAACUCUGCACAAUAGAGUUAUUUUACCAUAUUUUAUAUGCUAAUUGUUGCUUAGUUCUUGAGUUUUUAAUUAACUUAUUAAGUUUUUAUGUAA